AUCUAUGGUAGUUUAAUUUAAAGAAUAAUAAUUUGUGAUGUUAUUGGUGAUGGAAUCUCUAGAUCCAUUUUU
rnacentral:tRNA from 1 species